GAUGAAGAACGUAGCGAAAUGCGAUAAGUAAUGUGAAUUGCAGAAUUCAGUGAAUCAUCGAAUCUUUGAACGCACAUUGCGCCCGUCAGUAUUCUGGCGGGCAUGCCCGUUCGAGCGUCAUUACGCCCCUCAAGUCCCCUGUGGACUUGGUGUUGGGGAUCGGCGAGGCUGGUUUUCCAGCACAGCCGUCCCUUAAAUUAAUUGGCGGUCUCGCCGUGGCCCUCCUCUGCGCAGUAGUAAAACACUCGCAACAGGAGCCCGGCGCGGUCCACUGCCGUAAAACCCCCCAACUUUUUAUAGUUGACCUCGAAUCAGGUAGGACUACCCGCUGAACUUAAGCAUAUCAAUAAGCGGAGGA
rnacentral:misc_RNA from 1 species